UACGUAGGUGGCAAGCGUUGUCCGGAUUUACUGGGCGUAAAGAGCGUGUAGGCGGCCCGGUAAGUCCGCUGUGAAAGUCGGGGGCUCAACCCUCGGAUGCCGGUGGAUACUGUCGGGCUCGAGUACGGAAGAGGCGAGUGGAAUUCCUGGUGUAGCGGUGGAAUGCGCAGAUAUCAGGAGGAACACCGAUGGCGAAGGCAGCUCGCUGGGACGGUACUGACGCUAAGGCGCGAAAGCGUGGGGAGCGAACAGG
rnacentral:rRNA from 1 species